GGGGGCGGGGGGCUGGAUGUGUGGUGAGAAAGCCCCAAAUCUAAUCAGCUCAGACGUCUGGAGGCAGUGAAUCAGCAGCUGCUCCUGCAGAAGUGCCAAAGUGCCUCUUCACAGCGAGCGAACUCACACACACACACACACACACACACACUUCACAGCGAGCGAAACAGGCCCAAUCAUAACACUGAUUUAGCCAUUUGAAUGUGCUUACACUUCAUGAUGCCUCCUCCCCUCUCAACAACAGGCUUGUCAGCACAGAUGUAUUUAUUUAUUUAUUUAUUUAUUUAGCAUCUUGGAAACAAAGCGUCUGGAAAAAACAAAGCUGACUGUAACAGCAAAAUCACUUUUUUUUUUUGUUGUAUUUUUUUGAAAAAAUGUUAAGACUUAGAGGAGGGAGCGAAAGCUAAGAAUACGUAGUCUCUGUUUUCAGCACAAACACAUGAAGGGCCUCGGAUUAGGGCCUAGGGUUAGGGCCUCGGGUUAGGCCUGAGGGCCACAAGGCCACGGGGUUUGUCAUCGGAGGGCAGGCAGGCAGGCAGGCAGGCAGGCCAUCACUAAUACUCUGCGCCUCUCAGUAAAAGCUCUCAGGUGUGUUGAUUGACACCUGUCACCUGUCAUCAGGGUGGAUCAUCUGACAUGAGUAGAUACAUGAAGCGUGGGGUUAAGGCGAAUAAUCAACAGUGCAAAGAGAACAGGUGGAGGACACACACACACAAACAGAGUCAGGUGAAGGACACACACACACACACAGAGUCAGGUGAAGGACACA